rnacentral:tRNA from 1 species
UAGCUCAGUUGGUAAAGGACCUGCCUGCAAUGCAGGAGACCCAGGUUCAAUUCCUGG